UGCGGAAGAUCUCGGUUCA
rnacentral:snRNA from 1 species